rnacentral:tRNA from 1 species
UGCCUCGUAGCCAAGUGGUAAGGCUCCCGACUCUGACUCGGGCACGCGCUAGUUCGAAUCUAGCCGAGGCAG